GCUGGGAUAGCUCAGUUGGUAGAGCACCGGACUGAAAAUCCGGGUGUCGCCAGUUCGACUCUGGCUCCCAGCACCA
rnacentral:tRNA from 1 species